rnacentral:rRNA from 1 species
GACGAACGCUGGCGGCGUGCUUAACACAUGCAAGUCGAACGGAAAGGCCCUGCUUUUGUGGGGUGCUCGAGUGGCGAACGGGUGAGUAACACGUGAGUGACCUGCCCUUGACUUUGGGAUAACUUCAGGAAACUGGGGCUAAUACCGGAUAGGAGCUCCUGCUGCAUGGUGGGGGUUGGAAAGAUUCGGCGGUUGGGGAUGGACUCGCGGCUUAUCAGCUUGUUGGUGGGGUAGUGGCUUACCAAGGCUUUGACGGGUAGCCGGCCUGAGAGGGUGACCGGCCACAUUGGGACUGAGAGACGGCCGAAACUCCUACGGGAGGCAGCAGGGGGGAAUAUUGCACAAUGGGCGGAAGCCUGAUGCAGCAACGCCGCGUGCGGGAUGACGGCCUUCGGGUGGUAAACCGCUUUCGCCUGUGACGAAGCGUGAGUGACGGUAAUGGGUAAAGAAGCACCGGCUAACUACGUG